rnacentral:lncRNA from 1 species
AGCGUCCUGACUUGCAUACAAUAUGCAGCCUAGAGCUCCAGUGUGUUACCUUUGGACAGAGGGCUCCUUGGGUCGUGAUGGAGCAUGGCCUUUGGGAUGGGGUAGAAACCAAAGCCUUUCUGGCUGACAGUCAUGUCCUCUGGGGGAAAUGGCUUCUCUCUGUCACAGUUGGGUGGAAGGUUGUGCUUCCUCCACAGAUAGGUCUGUCUUCUCAGACUAUCCCAGUCAAUGCCACCCCCACCAUUCUAGAGUAAAAGCCAUGAUGACAGAAGAAAAAGGAAAUAGAGAUUUAAAAAACUCAACCAAAACAACAACAUGGGUUGCCAGAUUUUCCUUAUUCAAGUGUAACACUCUACAAAAAUAUAUUUUCGACUAAACUAGCGGUUCCUCGCUUCAUUUCCACCCACCAACAGGACAUUACAAUAGACAAGUGUUGUCUACAAUAAGUAGCAUACAUCCCAGACAGUGUAUUUGGCAAUAAUUCAGUUAAGUUUAAACUCUUCAUUUAUUUAUCAACAGCUGAGCAGGAAUUUGUUCCAUUCUUCCUGGACUAAAGAGUGGCUGUUUGAGGAAGUACGUGACUACUGACCACUCCCUACAUGAGAUGCUGAAAACAGAAAAUAAACAGUUAUAAAACCAGGCAGAAAAGCUGAGUGUAAUAGGAGCUAUCGGGGCCUGCAUCUCCAGAACCAAUGCCCAGUCUCACUCUCCCGUGACUCUCCCUCACUGUGGAGCCAAAGCAGGGUUUUCCCUCUCUCAACCACUCAGCAAGCCUGAUGAAUAUGGAUUGAAAGGCAGCAACAUGCUUCAUGGCUGUUGGUUACAUGUAAAUUAAACAGCACUGGAGACAGGCCUUUUAAUGAUCAGACAGACCAGUCAUACUCAGAGCAGAGAAUCAUUAUGUAAAAAGAGAAUGCCAUGGGACAGUAGUAUGAUAGUAUGAGUGACCUUGCUGUCCAGUUUGUACUUGUACGUUGAGAGGUCCUGCUGGGUGUGUCUUCUCAGUACCCUCUCCCUGACACUGUGGAACACCACAGGCUUGUUCCUGAGGAGGAAAGCACUGGGGAUCCUAGGUGCUGGGGGAGGGUGUGGGCUGGUAUGAGCCUGGGUCUGGGCCUCCUCCUCCUCCCUGUUGGGGUCAGUGUCUGUGUCAGGUUUGGCCAGGGCAAGGUCUGUUGGGUGGACAGUUUGCUGUGCCACUGGGGAGCUCAACCCAUGCUCACUUUUCGGCUUUGACGUCAAUGUUGUCAGCUGGAACGGCACCCUCUUCCGCACAUUCUUGGACUCUUGGACUUGAAUUCUUGGAUUUCUGUUCUAUAAUAUACAAAAAAGACUAGUAAAUGUAACUGGUUAAUGAAAUAGGCC